rnacentral:rRNA from 1 species
UAGGAAGGAAAAGAAAUUAACAAAGAUUCCUUUAGUAGCGGCGAGCGAAACAGGAAAAGCCCAGCACUAAGCCCUCCAGUCGUCCUGGCUGGCAGGGGAUGCAGUGUAUGGAAAGUCUAUUAUCUUAUAUGACAGUGAUACGUUCAAGUCCAUCUUGAAUGGGGCCAUUUUACCCAUAGAGGGUGCCAGGCCCGUAGUAGCUAUUACUAGUAUAAGAAGAUUUUUCCAAAGAGUCGUGUUGCUUGAUAGUGCAGCACUAAGUUGGUGGUAAACUCCAUCUAAGGCUAAAUAUAACCACGAGACCGAUAGCGAACAAGUACCGUGAGGGAAAGUUGAAAAGCACUCUGAAUAGAGAGUUAAAUAGUACGUGAAACCGCUUAGGGGUUAAACCCGAUGAACCUGAAUAUCUGAAUUGGGAAAUUCAAUACUAAUUUAUUUGGUACUGUGUAAUAGCAAUAUUAAAUGAUGGUAUGCACUUUUCCCAUAGUAAGACAUUGCGAUCCAUUAAUGAUUAAUUUUUAUCAAACGGCCCGCAAGUAUAGUUUGUUCAUUUGUUUAAUAACUUUUACCGGUUAUUUUAUCUGGAAUAAUACUAUGUGGUGUCCUGAUAAAUAGUUGAUGGAGCUUAAAAAUCAUGCUAACAUGCACAAUGUAUCACGGUUUGUAUAAUAUAUUGUUAUGCGAAUGCGGUGAUAGCAUGUAUUUGAUCAGCAAUGCGAUAGAUUUAGGAUACCUUCGGGACCCGUCUUGAAACACGGACCAAGAAGUCUAACAUGUGUGUAAGUUAUUGGGUAUUGUUGUGUAUAAACCUAAAGGCGUAAUUAAAAUAACUAUUUUAAUGGGAUUACAAGCAAUUGUGUUUACAUAAUUGUUUCUCCAUCCCGGGGCGUUCUAUAUGGAACAUGGUUUAAGCAAUUGAAUCCUCUGUUUCGGAGCGUACCUUGAACAUACAUGCUGU